UGGGGAAUCUUGCGCAAUGGGCGAAAGCCUGACGCAGCGACGCCGCGUGGGGGAAGAAGGCCUUCGGGUUGUAAACCUCUUUCAGCAGGGACGAAGCCACUCGGGUUAAUAGCCCAGAGGGUGACGGUACCUGCAGAAGAAGCCCCGGCUAACUACGUGCCAGCAGCCGCGGUAAUACGUAGGGGGCAAGCGUUGUCCGGAUUUAUUGGGCGUAAAGAGCGUGUAGGCGGCCAGACAGGUCCGUUGUGAAAACUAGAGGCUUAACCUCUAGACGUCGAUGGAAACCGUUUGGCUAGAGUCCGGAAGAGGAGAAUGGAAUUCCUGGUGUAGCGGUGAAAUGCGCAGAUAUCAGGAAGAACACCCGUGGCUAAGGCGGUUCUCUAGUACGGUACUGACGCUGAGACGCGAAAGCGUGGGGAGCGAACAG
rnacentral:rRNA from 1 species